UACGAAGGGGGCUAGCGUUGCUCGGAAUCACUGGGCGUAAAGCGCACGUAGGCGGCUUUUUAAGUCAGGGGUGAAAUCCUGGAGCUCAACUCCAGAACUGCCUUUGAUACUGAGAAGCUUGAGUCCGGGAGAGGUGAGUGGAACUGCGAGUGUAGAGGUGAAAUUCGUAGAUAUUCGCAAGAACACCAGUGGCGAAGGCGGCUCACUGGCCCGGUACUGACGCUGAGGCGCGAAAGCUAGGGGAGCAAACAGGG
rnacentral:rRNA from 1 species